CAGGAAAAACUAAUAUUUUUGUCCAUUUUUACAGGAACUGGCAGCAUGGUGUAAAUUUCUGAGGAGUAAUACUGAUUUUUUGAGUGCUAUUAGCAGCUUCUUCAAGCCAAAGUUGGAAGAAAAAGGAGAAACCAAGAGAGAAGCUUGGCAUCUCCUGUCCCUCAGCUUGAGCUGGAAGCCUCAGUUAUGAGAACAGGAUGGUGCUCAUCUUCUCAAAAGCAGGCCACUGCACCAGAAUGACUUCGCCC